UUUAAAAAUAAACUUAGGUGUUUUGGAUAAUUGUCAGCUUUGGCAGCUUUACCUAUGCUAAAAUAUACAAUGACCGAGGAAGCCUAGUGACAAGUCUAUAGCAACCAGUUUACUUGUUGAAUUUGUUAUCACCCAGUGUGCUUUGUUGAGUGGUUUCAAUGUAUUGUUUUAUUUAAUGUGA